rnacentral:lncRNA from 1 species
UUUGAAACACUAUUAUGGGUGGCAUGUUGUAUUUUCAUAUCCUUAGUGAGCUAUGUAUUGCUCUUUCUAGCCCCUUGAUUCAAAGCUUGGUAAACUUAUCAUUUUAUAGGGCCCAAUAAAAUUAUACUUGUAUAAGAAAGAUUUGAAAAAUGAUUUACAUAUGUAUGGGAGAUAAGGAACACAAAUGAGAAAAAAAAACUCAUUUGAU